GCUGUAAGAACAUUUUUAUUACUGCUGGCUCCUGUCAAAUAAGAUUAUGAAGAAACAGCGAUUAAUUCUGCAACUCACAGAGAAGAUUCUAGACCAAGACAUGAGACUCUAGUAGCAUUGUCUUGUUUAUUAACAUCAUUGAAACAUUUUGCUGAUAAAACUUUUGUCUGUAACUAUUCUAGCAACAAAAUUUUUCUCAAAAUAUUUCACUGUGAAAUGGUGCUGCAACUUGAAUGUAGUUUUUAUCAAUGAAUUGAAUUCCAUAAAGCAAAUCUAACUCUUAAAAUGGCAGAUUCAGUGACCAAAAAGUGAUUCAAAAAAAGCUUCCCCCUCCCCAUGCCAAUCCUGAGACCACUUGGAUCAAGCUGAGUUCCGGACCCUGGGCCUAGACUGAAGGAGGAGAGAAAGAACGUAACUCAUUCCUAACUUACUAGAACAGGCUACUAGGACACUCAACACUUACGCGACAAAGAAACCACAUGAACAGGUGAGUUUACUGGGCAGCUAUAGGAAGGUGCAGCCUGGACGAAUCUGACGGAGCAUAUUCAUCAUCAUUAUCACAAUGCUAUUCCUAAGGUGUCCUAAUUGGAUGAGCUACAAAAAUCAGUUUCUGUUUGCCUCCUUCCCAUCUCACCUGUUGGCCUUCCUGCAGAAGCCUUGGGAGAGAUCCUGAGCUUUUCAUAUUCUACUGAUAUAUUUUUGCAUUACUGUUUUGAUGAAUAAAAUAUAACAUGCUUCUCUCUCUUAGUCCCCUAAAGUAUGUGUGUAUCAGCCUGGGAGAGUAGAUUUGGGUAGUUGAAAUACAAGUCGUUUCUCCCUGUGAUUCUCUGCCUUUUGCUGAAGGUUGAUUAUUGAGUCUCACUUUCUACUUAAUUAGAACAGCUAGUUCUUUUGUUCUUUCUGAGAAGCUGGAGCAUGAGAUUAGAGAACAGUGGGGAAAGGUUGGCCAAGCUGAGACAGGAAGAACAGCGUCUCUAGAAGCUCUAGCUCUGGGUUUCAGGCACUUCAGUAAGAGACUUUCCUCCCUUGUUCCUAUGUACGUUCAAGGAAAUGAAAGCAAGAAGUCCCCAGAUGCUGCCUGGGGUUGGGGGGGGGGGUGGCAAAUGAGGUACCAGCUAGCAGCACAGACCCCCCAGAGGGCCAUUCCUUGAGGAAAGAUUCAUUGACACAAAGGGUUCCCCUCCUGCCUUUUCUUACUCAUGUCAGCCACUUUCAGAGAAAUGGGAGGACCAUUUUUUAUUGGUAGGCAGGAAAUGAGGCUCCAGACCCCUCUUGACAUGCUCAUUCCAGCCCAUGCCUUUCUCACAAUCUCUGAGCCAUGCCAGCCUUGGGUUGGCCUUUUUAGGAAGGAGCAGGACCCCAGAGAGGAAGUCAGGGCCUAG